GGAUAAUCUGCCCUCAGGUGAGGAAUAAUCCCGGGAAACUGGGGCUAAUGCCUCAUAGGAGACGGGUGCUGGAAUGCUCUGUCUCCGAAAGGUCCGCCGCCUGAGGAUGAGUCUGCGUCCGAUUAGGUUGUUGUUGGGGUAACGGCCCAACAAGCCUUUGAUCGGUACGGGUUGUGGGAGCAAGAGCCCGGAGAUGGAUUCUGAGACAUGAAUCCAGGCCCUACGGGGCGCAGCAGGCGCGAAAACUUUACAAUGCGAGCAAUCGUGAUAAGGAAACCCUGAGUGCCUGUCAAUGCAGGCUGUUCUGGUGUCUAACACACACCAGGAGAAAGGGCGGGGCAAGACCGGUGCCAGCCGCCGCGGUAAUACCGGCUGCUCGAGUGAUAGCCACUUUUACUGGGCUUAAAGCGUUCGUAGCUUGGUCGUUAAGUCUCUGGGGAAAUCUUUUGGCUCAACCAAAAGGCGUCUCAGGGAAACUGACGAUCUUGGAACCGGGAGAGGUAAGACGUACUUCGGGGGUAGGAGUGAAAUCUUGUAAUCCCCGAGGGACGACCGAUGGCGAAGGCAUCUUACCAGAACGGCUUCGACAGUGAGGGACGAAAGCUGGGGGAGCAAACCGGAUUAGAUACCCGGGUAGUCCCAGCCGUAAACGAUGUGCGUUAAGGGUUGUCAGUGACCCCGAGUCCCUGAAGGGUCCCAAAGGGAAACCCUGUGAAACCCCACCGCCCUGGGGAAGUACCGGUCCGCAAGGCUUGAAACUUAA
rnacentral:rRNA from 1 species